CAGCCGCCACGGUAAUACGUAGGGUGCGAGCGUUAAUCGGAAUUACUGGGCGUAAAGCGUGCGCAGGCGGUUAUAUAAGACAGAUGUGAAAUCCCCGGGCUCAACCUGGGACCUGCAUUUGUGACUGUAUAGCUAGAGUACGGUAGAGGGGGAUGGAAUUCCGCGUGUAGCAGUGAAAUGCGUAGAUAUGCGGAGGAACACCGAUGGCGAAGGCAAUCCCCUGGACCUGUACUGACGCUCAUGCACGAAAGCGUGGGGAGCAAACAGGAUUAGAUACCCCUGUAGUCCCUGUCUCUUAUAA
rnacentral:rRNA from 1 species